AAGAUCGUACUUCAGUGGAUCAUUGCUGCAGUAGAUCUUGCUUCAACACCUGCCGCAAGGUAGAAUGAAUACAACCACGAUGACGAGGUGUAGCAUCUUUUCCUGAGCGUGAGGAAGGCUUGAGAAAUUGACUUUGUUUCGAAUUCUCAGUCAUCGAUGAUCGUUCACUUCUCAUACUUAGUAUGAGAAGGAUGGGAAGGAUGCUUUCUGAGUGGC